AGAGUUCCUGCAACUGGCUGUCUGGGGCAGCUAUGAGAAUGCUGGCAGGAGUUGCUGACUAGCCAGUGUUUGGUGAAGAUGAAAAACAGCCUUUUAGUUAGAACUGAAACUUCUAAAUAGCAAUCUGAUUGUACAAACUGACUUGAGUUGUUUGUUAGUACUAACAUAUUAAGAGGGGAAUAAAUUUGCUAUCUGUCUGCAAUAGCUUUCUCAAAUAUGUCAAUGCAUUUGAAGCACCUUGCGAAGAAUUAUUAUUUAAUCAGUGGACAUUAGAACUCCUAUUUUGAUGGAUUCUUUAGAAAAAUACCUUGAUUUUUGCAGUUGAAAAGUGAGAAAGGUUCUGUUGACAGAGAACUAAGAAAUAUGUAAACUUGUUUCUUAAGAAACAAACACUAAAUUGAAGAUGGAAAAAAGGGGAAAGAAAAGAGAUGGAAGGAAGGUGACCAAGGAAUAGAGCAGAAGAAUGAAAGAGUGGAUGAAAAUCUAUAGAAAAGCAAUGCCUAAUAAAUAGCAUUUAUAUUAGUGGUGCAAAUUUUCCCUCCAUGUGAUAAUAUAUACAGAUAGAUAUAUAUUUUACAUUGGGAUUUUGAUUAUUUAAUAUUUAUUUUUAGAUUGUGUUCACUAUCUGUGAUAUAAAGAAAUUCAAAAACUUCUUUCCUGGUUAUGAAACAUUGUGUUACUCAUUGCCUUUUUUUCAAAAACAGAAACUGGACAAUUAAGGCUAAGUGCAAUCACUCUGUUUAAAUUUAUUGGGCAAUAGUUGCAUGAUCUUCAGUUGUGGAAUUUGUGUGUCAAGGCUCAUAUGACAAUUCCUUUAUGGCACUGAAAUAAGACUGUACUUGUCUUUGCUUUGUCCUUUCGGCCUGCCCUUGGUGAACUCCUUAUUGCAAUGAAUUCGUAUUUCUGAAUCUAAAGAUGACUAGCUUCUAGCUGCUAAGUUAAAUUUAAACCUCCGUGAGGACACCAGCUGUCCCUAAGUGAGAUAAUUUGCUAUUUUCCUCGGGCCAAAAAUUCCAGUUUGGGGUAAGACAGGGCCUUGAAAUGCACAUUCCCUAAGAGGUUACUUUUGAUCCAGAGAUCUCUUAAAGUGUUAAUGAAUUUCCACACACAUGAGCACCCUGCAUUUUUUUCCUUUUGGGUUAAAAACCGAAGAGGUCUAUAAGGAGACUGUCUCAGAACUUUGGUUCCCAGAACCAUUAUUUAUAUUCAGCUUCAGUGUUCCUUAUUUAUUAGCUGGGACCUAGCAGAGCAGUUACAGCAACAGAAAACAGCAGAUGGCAAAUUUCAUGGUGGCGAUAACACAAUAACUGAGAAGUAUGUGGUGAGCAAUAUGG
rnacentral:lncRNA from 1 species